rnacentral:rRNA from 1 species
UCUGGAAACUGUNUGACUUGAGUGCAGAAGGGGAGAGUGGAAUUCCAUGUGUAGCGGUGAAAUGCGUAGAUAUAUGGAGGAACACCAGUGGCGAAAGCGGCUCUCUGGUCUGUCACUGACGCUGAGGCUCGAAAGCGUGGGUAGCGAACAGGAUUAGAUACCCUGGUAGUNCACGCCGUAAACGAUGAGUGCUAGGUGUUAGGCCCUUUCCGGGGCUUAGUGCCGGAGCUAACGCAAUAAGCACUCCGCCUGGGGAGUACGACCGCAAGGUUGAAACUCAAAGGAAUUGACGGGGGCCCGCACAAGCGGUGGAGCAUGUGGUUUAAUUCGAAGCAACGCGAAGAACCUUACCAGGUCUUGACAUCCCGAUGCUAUUCUUAGAGAUAGGAAGUUACUUCGGUACAUCGGAGACAGGUGGUGCAUGGUUGUCGUCAGCUCGUGUCGUGAGAUGUUGGGUUAAGUCCCGCAACGAGCGCAACCCUUAUUGUUAGUUGCCAUCAUUAAGUUGGGCACUCUAGCGAGACUGCCGGUAAUAAACCGGAGGAAGGUGGGGAUGACGUCAAAUCAUCAUGCCCCUUAUGACCUGGGCUACACACGUGCUACAAUGGUCGGUACAACGAGUUGCGAGCCGGUGACGGCAAGCUAAUCUCUGAAAGCCGAUCUCAGUUCGGAUUGGAGGCUGCAACUCGCCUCCAUGAAGUCGGAAUCGCUAGUAAUCGCGGAUCAGCACGCCGCGGUGAAUACGUUCCCGGGCCUUGUACACACCGCCCGUCACACCACGAGAGUUUGUAACACCCGAA